UACGUAGGCAGCAAGCGUUGUUCGGAAUUAUUGGGCGUAAAGGGCUCGUAGGCGGUCUGUUGCGUCAGGAGUGAAAACUCGGGGCUUAACCCCGAGCCUGCUUCUGAUACGGGCAGACUAGAGGUAUGCAGGGGAGAACGGAAUUCCUGGUGUAGCGGUGAAAUGCGCAGAUAUCUGGAGGAACACCGGUGGCGAAGGCGACGUCCUGGACCGGCAUUGACGCUGAGGCGCGAAAGCCAGGGGAGCAAAGCGGG
rnacentral:rRNA from 1 species